rnacentral:lncRNA from 1 species
GCCGGAGCUGAAGAGGUCAUCCAACAAGAAGUACUCAAAGCCGAUCGUCGACGAUGAUUUCGAGGCUGAUUUCCAAGGAUUCAAGGACGAUGAAGAAGAGUCUGACAUUGAUGGUGACGUGGACGUUGAUGCCGACUUGAUGAUGGCUGAUAUUAAGCCUUUUACUUUCUCAGCUGGUCGCAAGUCUCAUGGUAACCAUUUUUUGAAUACACCCAGUUCAAGUUUUUUUUUAAUGUUUUUGUUAUUAUUAUACCUGAUCAUCUUUUUGUGUGUGUGUGUGUGUGUGUGUGUAUUGUUUGUUAGUUAGGUUUUGAAUGAUAAAAUGCGUUAGCUUGUGUGUGUAAAUAUGUGUUUUUGUAAGUGGGUAUGUGUUUUCAGCGUGUGGUUGAUGAUGCUCAUCGCUAUGUAGAGAUGCUUUGGUUUGGAAAAUUAUUAUUUCUAACAACGGUUUUUUUUUUUUUUAAUUUUUAACAAGUUAUGGAAUUUGAGUAGAUGCUUUGAUCUAAUGGGAUAUAUUGAUCUUCACUUUCCUUUGUCUUUAUUUUAGGGUAAAAAUAAAUUUUUAUGACUUGGCGCUGAUUGUCAUCUAAAGUUCUGAUUUUUGUUUUGUAUAAAAGAAGUUUCUUGUUGGGUUGGCGUUUAAAGUCCUUGUUGGCUUUUGAUCCUGGUUUGUGGAUCAUUUGUUCCAAUCAAGCUUUUCUUUUGUCCUUGAAUUGACAUUUUUAAUUUGUGCCGUUGGAAGUUAGUUUUGUGAUGCAGAUGUUCGAUGAUAAUUCUGAUGAUCAUAUUUUAGAGAUGUUCUUUCUUGGAAUUUUUUCUUCUUUGUUUAGAUAGAUGGGAUGUCCAGACUUGCAUAGAUUAUUCACUAGUUUGCUUGCUCAGUCAAAUCAAGCAUCUAUUGACAUGAUCUAUUAUAUUGGUUGGAUUAGAGGUUUCUGUUGCUUAGCUUUAUAAAAUGGAAGCUUAAAGUUUUCCUCCUUUUUUUUUUUCUAUAUUUUGUUUUAUGUGAAAUGGUUGAAAUUUUCGGUUCUGGGAUCUUAAGAGUAGAUAAAAUUAUCACUUGAUCUACCUUUUUGUGUAACCAUUUGGCAGUAAUUUUUUCAGUUAUCUCUUUGUCAUUUGUUUGGUUUUUAGUGUGUUGCAGUUAUAGAUCGUGGGAAAAUUCAUUUUUCUGAUCUUGUAAUGGAAAACAAUGGAUUUCUUGUUGUACAUAGAAUUGCGUGACUGCACGAUGUUGAUGAUGGUAUAUAAAGUUAUUCAGUUUGGUUACUAGUGUGUUCUAUCAUUAAUGAUGGGAGUUCUUUAUGAAAUUCGCUUCUCUUUAUGAUUUGGUUGUGCUGCUUGUGUAUGAAAUAACUUUUUUUUUUCUUUUUUCCCCCAAUCAUUGAAGGAUCUACAGCCGUGAAGCACGUUGAACAAGCUAAAAAAUCCACAGAAAGAAAGAGGAAGAAUCAAUAUAGGGGAAUUAGGCAGCGUCCAUGGGGAAAAUGGGCUGCUGAGAUCCGUGACCCCACAAAAGGGGUUCGUGUCUGGCUAGGAACUUUCAAUACCGCUGAAGAAGCCGCUAGGGCUUAUGAUGCCGAGGCACGGAGGAUCCGUGGGAAGAAAGCUAAGGUUAACUUUCCAGAUGAAACUCCUGCUGCUGCUCCAAAGAGCUCAGUGAAGGCAAACUCUCAGAAAUCAGUUCCCAAAGCUUGCCUAAGCCCCGUGCAGCCAAGUUUGAACCAGAACUUCGAUUACUUGAACAACUCCGAUCAGGAUUACUACAACAAUGUGAGUAUUCUGGAGGAGAAACCACAAGUGAAUCAGUAUGGAUAUUUGGGCUCCUUCCCUAAUGAUGGAGAACUAGGAUUCAAACCCUUUGUGCCAACAGCUGAUGAUACUCCUUUGUACUUCAACUCUGACCAAGGCAGUAACUCCUUUGAUUGUUCUGACUUUGGCUGGGGAGAACAGGCACCAAAGACUCCUGAAAUCUCAUCUGUUUUGGAAGCUACCCCUGAAGUUGAUGAAUC